CGAAGUUUAACUGGUGGCAGCUGCUAAGGGCAGCGGAGCGAGGCCGGAGCACGCCGCCCGUCCCAGCCCAGCCACGUGACCGGCGACCGAGGGGUAUUCUGGGAGCGCCGCCCACACCACAGAAGAGACGCACCGUCCCUGCAUGGGUCGUCACGGCGCGUGAGGAUUAUCUGCUAAGACGCUGCGGCGAUGUGGCAGUGCUGGCGGCGGGUGCGGGCGGCGGCGGAGGGGGC